rnacentral:rRNA from 1 species
CUAACACUACAAGAUGGGCCUGCGGCGCAKUAGCUAGUUGGUAAGGUAGUGGCUUACCAAGGCGACGAUGCGUAGCCGACCUGAGAGGGUGAUCGGCCACACUGGGACUGAGACACGGCCCAGACUCCUACGGGAGGCAGCAGUAGGGAAUCUUCCGCAAUGGACGAAAGUCUGACGGARCAACGCCGCGUGAGCGAUGAARGCCUUCGGGUCGUAAAGCUCUGUUGUUAGGGAAGAACAAGUGCCGUUCGAAUAGGUCGGCACCUUGACGGUACCUAACCAGAAAGCCACGGCUAACUACGUGCCAGCAGCCGCGGUAAUACGUAGGUGGCAAGCGUUGUCCGGAAUUAUUGGGCGUAAAGCGCGCGCAGGCGGUCUUUUAAGUCUGAUGUGAAAGCCCACGGCUCAACCGUGGAGGGUCAUUGGAAACUGGRAGACUUGAGUACAGAAGAGGAGAGUGGAAUUCCACGUGUAGCGGUGAAAUGCGUAGAUAUGUGGAGGAACACCAGUGGCGAAGGCGACUCUCUGGUCUGUAACUGACGCUGAGGCGCGAAAGCGUGGGGAGCAACAGGAUUAGAUACCCUGGUAGUCCACGCCGUAACGAUGAGUGCUAGUGUU